rnacentral:rRNA from 1 species
CCGACUAAUGUUGAAAAAUUAGCGGAUGACUUGUGGCUGGGGGUGAAAGGCCAAUCAAACCGGGAGAUAGCUGGUUCUCCCCGAAAGCUAUUUAGGUAGCGCCUCGUGAAUUCAUCUCCGGGGGUAGAGCACUGUUUCGGCAAGGGGGUCAUCCCGACUUACCAACCCGAUGCAAACUGCGAAUACCGGAGAAUGUUAUCACGGGAGACACACGGCGGGUGCUAACGUCCGUCGUGAAGAGGGAAACAACCCAGACCGCCAGCUAAGGUCCCAAAGUCAUGGUUAAGUGGGAAACGAUGUGGGAAGGCCCAGACAGCCAGGAUGUUGGCUUAGAAGCAGCCAUCAUUUAAAGAAAGCGUAAUAGCUCACUGGUCGAGUCGGCCUGCGCGGAAGAUGUAACGGGGCUAAACCAUGCACCGAAGCUGCGGCAGCGACGCUUAUGCGUUGUUGGGUAGGGGAGCGUUCUGUAAGCCUGUGAAGGUGUGCUGUGAGGUAUGCUGGAGGUAUCAGAAGUGCGAAUGCUGACAUAAGUAACGAUAAAGCGGGUGAAAAGCCCGCUCGCCGGAAGACCAAGGGUUCCUGUCCAACGUUAAUCGGGGCAGGGUGAGUCGACCCCUAAGGCGAGGCCGAAAGGCGUAGUCGAUGGGAAACAGGUUAAUAUUCCUGUACUUGGUGUUACUGCGAAGGGGGGACGGAGAAGGCUAUGUUGGCCGGGCGACGGUUGUCCCGGUUUAAGCGUGUAGGCUGGUUUUCCAGGCAAAUCCGGAAAAUCAAGGCCGAGGCGUGAUGACGAGGCACUACGGUGCUGAAGCAACAAAUGCCCUGCUUCCAGGAAAAGCCUCUAAGCAUCAGGUAACAUCAAAUCGUACCCCAAACCGACACAGGUGGUCAGGUAGAGAAUACCAAGGCGCUUGAGAGAACUCGGGUGAAGGAACUAGGCAAAAUGGUGCCGUAACUUCGGGAGAAGGCACGCUGAUACGUAGGUGAAGCGACUUGCUCGUGGAGCUGAAAUCAGUCGAAGAUACCAGCUGGCUGCAACUGUUUAUUAAAAACACAGCACUGUGCAAACACGAAAGUGGACGUAUACGGUGUGACGCCUGCCCGGUGCCGGAAGGUUAAUUGAUGGGGUUAGCGCAAGCGAAGCUCUUGAUCGAAGCCCCGGUAAACGGCGGCCGUAACUAUAACGGUCCUAAGGUAGCGAAAUUCCUUGUCGGGUAAGUUCCGACCUGCACGAAUGGCGUAAUGAUGGCCAGGCUGUCUCCACCCGAGACUCAGUGAAAUUGAACUCGCUGUGAAGAUGCAGUGUACCCGCGGCAAGACGGAAAGACCCCGUGAACCUUUACUAUAGCUUGACACUGAACAUUGAGCCUUGAUGUGUAGGAUAGGUGGGAGGCUUUGAAGUGUGGACGCCAGUCUGCAUGGAGCCGACCUUGAAAUACCACCCUUUAAUGUUUGAUGUUCUAACGUGGACCCGUGAUCCGGGUUGCGGACAGUGUCUGGUGGGUAGUUUGACUGGGGCGGUCUCCUCCUAAAGAGUAACGGAGGAGCACGAAGGUUGGCUAAUCCUGGUCGGACAUCAGGAGGUUAGUGCAAUGGCAUAAGCCAGCUUGACUGCGAGCGUGACGGCGCGAGCAGGUGCGAAAGCAGGUCAUAGUGAUCCGGUGGUUCUGAAUGGAAGGGCCAUCGCUCAACGGAUAAAAGGUACUCCGGGGAUAACAGGCUGAUACCGCCCAAGAGUUCAUAUCGACGGCGGUGUUUGGCACCUCGAUGUCGGCUCAUCACAUCCUGGGGCUGAAGUAGGUCCCAAGGGUAUGGCUGUUCGCCAUUUAAAGUGGUACGCGAGCUGGGUUUAGAACGUCGUGAGACAGUUCGGUCCCUAUCUGCCGUGGGCGCUGGAGAACUGAGGGGGGCUGCUCCUAGUACGAGAGGACCGGAGUGGACGCAUCACUGGUGUUCGGGUUGUCAUGCCAAUGGCACUGCCCGGUAGCUAAAUGCGGAAGAGAUAAGUGCUGAAAGCAUCUAAGCACGAAACUUGCCCCGAGAUGAGUUCUCCCUGACCCUUUAAGGGUCCUGAAGGAACGUUGAAGACGACGACGUUGAUAGGCCGGGUGUGUAAGCGCAGCGAUGCGUUGAGCUAACCGGUACUAAUGAACCGU